UAUCGAUUGCCAGUUAAACUCACACACCGCGGCAAGGACAAGGCUCAGAUGGCGCACACUUAGCCAAUCGGAGGCGACAAAGACGGUUCCUUCCCCCCUGAUUGGCUCAUUGUUUAAUCAUGUCAAUCACUCAUUCAUUCCAUUGGUUCUGAAUAGGUUGCAAACUCCGCCAGCAUCGUCAUUCGUCAUUGAUCCGCAUCGAUCAGCAGCAUCGACCAGAAGAGAGAAGACUAUGAACCAUGAAGAGAAAGUCAGAAGACAUCGCUUCUUACUUUAAGAAGAAAAUUAGCGCAGGAGGAGAGAGAGAGCCGACGGUUGAGCAGAGGCAUAGUGAUGAGGAGAUGGAGGAGGAAGAUGAGGGGGAGGAGCAGACAGAGCAGCAUGAGCAUGCUGGAGAGGGACAGUUAGCAGAGAGCACAGAGGCGAGGCAGGGGUCAGCAGCAGGUGUUCGAUCUGCUCCUGGACCAACAGAUAUCUCGCAGUCAAGAGCAGAACAGCCAAAACAGCCACAUCUGCAAAACUUCCCGCGAACCCAUCAAGGGGACAGAAGACGGUGUUUUUCAAAAGACUGGUACAGCAAACAUAAAUGGCUGGAAU